rnacentral:tRNA from 1 species
UGGAAAGUUACUCAAGUUGGUUAAGAGGGCAGAUUGCUAAUCUGUUAGUAGGCUUAAAGUCUAGCAAGAGUUCGAAUCUCUUACUUUCCGCCAU